GCCCGCUUCGGCGGCCACGCCCCCAGCGGGGAGCCGGUCCACGUGGGGCGGGACAGCCCCCUCCCUGCGGCCUCGCCCUGGAGUCUCGGCACCGUCUGGCCCCGCCGGCUGAUUACAGCCAGAGAUCGAGGGGGACCUCGCUGUCCCCCUAGAGGCCGUCAUGCGGGGUUACAGAGGCUGCGACCAAAGUCAUUCCUAGCUCCUCUCUCGGGGCUCCGGAAAGCCGUCCGCGCCUCCAGCCGCACUUUCAGCGCACGCAGGACCUGCCGCGCCCGGUGGCCACACCCGUCCCUCUGCCGGGUGACGCUGCGGGAGAUCUUGCGCCCUGGGGCUCCGGAUCCAGUUCUGGCACGUUGUUGCACCUGUGACUUGUCCUUGGCCUGGCACUGUCCCUCGCCUGGGGGAAGCGGGGGGGUGGGGGGGGGAUGCUCACGUGGUCGCUUUGCUCCCGCAGUCAUGCACUUGGGUGAAAACAGACUGAAGAGUCACGGGAACCAGCUUGUCUCCCCAGUUAUGGCGCAGAGCUGCAAGGAUGGCUGUGGGUCAUUAAUUUCUCCGUGGCUGACCUGUGUUUGUAACGCCGCAGCUGUUGCGAGGGGGAAGGACACUGCUUCGGAUUCAAAUUCUGACUCCUUGCUGCAGUGUGUCACCUUGAGCCAGUCCCAGAUCUCUGCGUUCUCACAAUUGUAAAAUGUUAACAGAGGCUGCCUACCUUGUGGCUGGAAUUAAAUGAAUUAACGUGUGUGAAUGUGACUAGAAUUCAGUACAUGUUCAGGAAAAGCUGAUUUCCGCUUUGCUGUUACCGUGAAUAUUACUGUUUUAGGGUGUAGAAAAGGGUGGAAGGGGAUGUUAUUGCAUCCUGGAAGCUUAUCCUUUUGAGGUAAAGAUUGAUUUCUGGUCCCCUGCGUGGUAUAUAGUGUAGUUUUGACAUUAUUUAGAUGUGUUAUGCACAUUUGGGUGUUGAUUAUAUGGCUUACGAUCAAGACUAACCAGUCAUGCCGUGGGAGAUUAAGGUCGUGGUCUCUUGUCAGGAUUGUAGUGAGAUUUAAAAAUUCCAGCCAGAAAUACCAGGCUUAGAAUGCUCUGAAGCCCUCCCCACAUUUUUGCCAUCUCUAGCAGGAGGGCACUGCAUAGCAGAAACAAAGACGUUGUAAAUUGUUGCUGCCUGAGUCAUUUAUAGAGGCUUAAACAACCUGAAUGUCCUCUGACCUACCUGUAACAUUUGAUGGAGUUGUAUGAGUAACUUACAAAGCUGUAGGUCCCAAGGUCGGUCUGAAAAAGAAAGUUCAUAUCCGGGAGCACUGACCCCGUAGUGUAAUCCUGGCACCUUAAAACGUACUGCUCCCUCCACCUUCACUUCAAGGUUAUGAAAACAUUGAGUAAAAGGGAUGAUCUGUUCAAAGUCCUUAGUGUUCUGCCAAUUUAAAACAGUAAUUUUCAAAGCAGUUAUUUGCAAGGAAAUUGCCUAGAACUUCUCCCAGUGUGCGGUUGUUUUGUGUGUUUGUGUGUGUGUUUUGUUUGUUUGUUUUCAGUCUGUCCACAGGCGUACUUUUAUAGGUCUGUGAUAGUAGGUAGCUCUUCAAGUUGGCAAACACCUGCUGGACAACCCCUGAGAGAUUCAUCUGAGUGAGAGAGCACUCUCCAGCCCCAUCGGAGUGGGUUUGCAGGGAAAUCAUAAGGAAGAAAUCCUUAUCUUUCCAACACUGAGAUGCUUCUGCCGAAGAGUAGAAUGGGAGGUGAGGAAUUGGGGUGGGCCCUCACUGCUUUGCCUCCGGAUCAGUAGGGUACAGCCCUUGGAGACCAGGAUCUUCCUUGGCUGGGACACCUUCGUCCUCCCCUAAGGGAGGAGAGUGAGGGGACACGCAAAACGGGCUGCUGCCGGAGGAAGAGGAACAGUGUUGUGGCUCAUGCCAUAUGAAUGGGCUCACUGGCCUGGCCCAGACCCUGACUGCCCACAGGAUCUUUGACAGAGAAACGGAGGCACAGAGAAGGAAGCGGCAGUUAAAGCUGCGAAGAACCUAACAAAUUUCAAGAUUGUAAGUGCCUUUUCCCAGGAUGCCAGCAAGUACUGAGUUACAGCCUGUAUUUUGAGCUGCAUCAAACCCUGUUGGAAUAAAAAAGGACAUUUCUAGGAGAUCAGUCUUCGAGAUUGGCCCCAGUUUCCCCAGAGUAGGAAGAGGCAGGAAGCCAGAGCACAUGUUCUCUCCAGAAAUAAAGUUGUUGCAGUGGCCUAACCGUGUCUUAGAGUUACUGAAAACUCUGUUCUCUUGAGAUUUCUCAAGAAAGGAAACCUAUCUUGCAAGACAAAACCCACCUGUAGUCAAUUCCUACAGGAAAUAAAUUCAAAAUAAUGUUUCAGGCAAGGGC
rnacentral:lncRNA from 10 species